rnacentral:rRNA from 1 species
UGCGUAGGCGGAUUAAUAAGUCAGUGGUGAAAUCUUUCGGCUCAACCGAGAAACUGCCAUUGAUACUGUUAAUCUUGAGUUCGGUUGAGGUAGGCGGAAUGUGUAAUGUAGCGGUGAAAUGCUUAGAUAUUACACAGAACACCCAUUGCGUAGGCAGCUUACUAGACCGACACUGACGCUGAGGCACGAAAGCGUGGGGAGCGAACAGGAUUAGAUACCCUGGUAGUCC